CCUACGGGAGGCAGCAGUGAGGAAUAUUGGUCAAUGGACGAGAGUCUGAACCAGCCAAGUAGCGUGAAGGAUGACUGCCCUAUGGGUUGUAAACUUCUUUUAUAUGGGAAUAAAACGUUCCACGUGUGGGAUUUUGUAUGUACCAUAUGAAUAAGGAUCGGCUAACUCCGUGCCAGCAGCCGCGGUAAUACGGAGGAUUCGAGCGUUAUCCGGAUUUAUUGGGUUUAAAGGGAGCGUAGGUGGAUUGUUAAGUCAGUUGUGAAAGUUUGCGGCUCAACCGUAAAAUUGCAGUUGAAACUGGCAGUCUUGAGUACAGUAGAGGUGGGCGGAAUUCGUGGUGUAGCGGUGAAAUGCUUAGAUAUCACGAAGAACUCCGAUUGCGAAGGCAGUUCACUGGACUGCAACUGACACUGAGGCUCGAAAGUGUGGGUAUCAAACAGGAUUAGAUACCCCUGUAGU
rnacentral:rRNA from 1 species